rnacentral:lncRNA from 1 species
AUGGCAUGGGUGUGGAUGACGGACGACGCGGUCACCGGCGACGAGCUCCGACGCGGCCGCCCCCGACGAACCCCCGGCAUCGCGGACUCCGGCGACGAGCUUCAGCCGACGUGGUCGCCGGAUUGCUGCCUGGAGCUCCAGCACCACCACCCGCCAUCCACAGCGCCGCCGUUAACACCCACCUCCGGCUCCAUCCGCGUGGCCAGCCGAUGCGCCCUCUGCCAGCGCCCCAACUCUGUCGCGGGCCCUCUCCAGUCGUCGCCUUCGUCGCUGGCCGUCAAUCCCGCUGCGAGUCCAGGCCUUCAUCUUAUCCAUCUACUGCUUCGGGGGAGCAAAGAGACAAGAUGGGGUGCAAAGAGCUUGUUGACCUGGUCAUGGUUGGCUGUGGAGUGUGGUAGAAUCAUCUUCUACAUGGUAAGAAUCGCAUGAUACGUGAUAG